UUUUUUGGACAUACUAUACUAUGUCGUUUUUGUUCAUUUUUUUGGACAUACUAUACUUUGUUCAUUUUUUGCAUUUUUAUAUAUUAUAUAUAUUUUCAUUCUACUAAACUGACGUCAUGGUGUCUUUUUCUUCUUUUCCCGGAACACCGAGUGCAAGUACAUCUGACAUCAAUGAAGACGGUGGCUUCUGGAGUUUCUGAAGAACUUACGGACUGCGAGGACAAUCAUCUGACAUCAACGAAGACGGUGGCUUCUUGAGUUUCUAAAGAACUUACGGACUGCAAGGACAUUCAUCUGACAUCAAUGAAGACGGUGGCUUCUGGAGUUUCUGAAGAACUUACGAGAGUGAAGAGAGGACCCCCCCCCCCAUCAUCGGCUGCCUAUGUUGCUGAAAAACUUGUGGACGUUUUCAGCCUUGGGGAAGUAUAGCAGACUUAGCAGCCUUUGGGACUUAUAGCAGACUUAACAGACUAUCGAUGUGGCUGUGAGAGGGUUAGGGGUUAGGGUUCACAGCCACUUAGCAGACCGACUUGGGGCGGUGGCUGGGGUGCCGAGCGCCCCCCCCCCCAGCCACAUCAGCCCCCCGACUUAGCAGACUUAGCAGGCCUACAGACUUAGCAGACUAUCGGCAGUGGCUGCAGGGCCAGUCUCACUGCCAGGAGUGCAGUGAGAGCCGGCAGCCACCUGUCGGCCGCUUAGCAGACUUGGGGACGUUUAGCAGACUUAGCAGACUUGGGGACAUUUAGCAGACUUGGGGAAAAGGCUGCACUGCUAUGUAUGAAUUGUAUGAAUAAAAUGUGAAUUAAAAAAAAAGUUUCUUAAAAUACA